rnacentral:rRNA from 1 species
CCUACGGGUGGCAGCAGUGAGGAAUAUUGGUCAAUGGGCGCGAGCCUGAACCAGCCAAGUAGCGUGAAGGAUGACUGCCCUACGGGUUGUAAACUUCUUUUAUAAAGGAAUAAAGUGCGGCACGUGUGCCUUUUUGUAUGUACUUUAUGAAUAAGGAUCGGCUAACUCCGUGCCAGCAGCGGCGGUAAUACGGAGGAUCCGAGCGUUAUCCGGAUUUAUUGGGUUUAAAGGGAGCGUAGAUGGGUUGUUAAGUCAGUUGUGAAAGGUUGGGGCUUAACCGUAAAAUUGCAAUUGAUACUGGCAGUCUUGAGUACAGUUGAGGUAGGUGGAAUUCGUGGUGUAGCGGUGAAAUGCGUAGAUAUGACGAAGAACUCCGAUUGCGAAGGCAGCUUACUAAACAGCCACUGACAUUGAUGCUCGAAAGUGUGGGUAUCAAACAGGAUUAGAUACCCUAGUAGUC